AGUGAACGCUGGCGGUAGGCCUAACACAUGCAAGUCGAACGGCAGCACAGUAAGAUCUUGCUCUUACGGGUGGCGAGUGGCGGACGGGUGAGGCAUACAUCGGAAUCUACUUUUUCGUGGGGGAUUACGUAGGGACACUUACGCUAAUACCGCAUACGACCUACGGGUGAAAGCAGGGGAUCUUCGGACCUUGCGCGACUGAAUGAGCCGAUUUCGGAUUAGCUAGUUGGCUGGGUAAAGGCCCACCAAGGCGACGAUCCGUAGCUGGUCUGACAGGAUGAUCAGCCACACUGGAACUGAGACACGGUCCAGACUCCUACGGGAGGCAGCAGUGGGGAAUAUUGCACAAUGGGCGCAAGCCUGAUCGAGCCAUGCCGCGUGGGUGAAGAAGGUCUUCGGAUUGUAAAGCCCUUUUGUUGGGAAAGAAAAGCAGUAGGUUAAACCCCCGCUGUUUUGACGGUACCCAAAGAAUAAGCACCGGCUAACUUCGUG
rnacentral:rRNA from 1 species